rnacentral:rRNA from 1 species
AACGAACGCUGGCGGCAGGCUUAACACAUGCAAGUCGAACGCCCCGCAAGGGGAGUGGCAGACGGGUGAGUAACGCGUGGGAAUCUACCCAGUUCUACGGAACAACUGAGGGAAACUUCAGCUAAUACCGUAUACGCCCUACGGGGGAAAGAUUUAUCGGAAUUGGAUGAGCCCGCGUUGGAUUAGCUAGUUGGUGAGGUAACGGCUCACCAAGGCGACGAUCCAUAGCUGGUCUGAGAGGAUGAUCAGCCACACUGGGACUGAGACACGGCCCAGACUCCUACGGGAGGCAGCAGUGGGGAAUAUUGGACAAUGGGCGCAAGCCUGAUCCAGCCAUGCCGCGUGAGUGAUGAAGGCCUUAGGGUUGUAAAGCUCUUUCAGUGGGGACGAUAAUGA